UAAUACGGAGGAUCCAAGCGUUAUCCGGAUUUAUUGGGUUUAAAGGGUGCGUAGGUGGCUUUUUAAGUCAGGGGUGAAAGACGGUAGCUUAACUAUCGCAGUGCCUUUGAUACUGAAGAGCUUGAAUGAACUAGAGGUAGGCGGAAUGUGACAAGUAGCGGUGAAAUGCAUAGAUAUGUCACAGAACACCAAUUGCGAAGGCAGCUUACUAUGGUUUUAUUGACACUGAGGCACGAAAGCGUGGGGAUCAAACAGGAUUAGAUACCCUGGUAGUCCACGCCCUAAACGAUGAACACUCGAUGUUGGCGAUAUACGGUCAGCGUCUAAGCGAAAGCGUUAAGUGUUCCACCUGGGGAGUACGCCCGCAAGGGUG
rnacentral:rRNA from 1 species